rnacentral:misc_RNA from 1 species
AAAAAAAAAAAAAAAAUCUCCACUUAAAUUAAAAACUUUAAUUUUCACCAAAAUGAUGGCACAUUCUUAUUAUCUUAUAAAUUCACACAAGAAAGAUGUUCAGAAUGAGUGAGUUUUAAGGUUUGUUUGUGCUUUACGGAACCACAAAAACUGUAAGCAUCUCCAUUGUUUAAUGUGAAAUGCUGUCUCUAUAUUCUGGAUUCUAGAAACAUGAAUUAUUUCUGUAGUAAGCUAUUCACUGUUCUUGGAUGAGAGCUUUUAUUUUACAGUUUGUCUUUAUUGAUAUUGCAUGCUGAUAUCUAUGUCAUUUGUGUUCUUCACUUUUCCUUCCUGCAUGGAUUUUAUAAAAGUUUUAUUUAUUUAUUUAAAUGAGCAGUUUUUCACUUUGGAGUAGAAUGUCUUUUAUCAUAUUCAUUAAUUCUUUCACGGAAUUUUUCGUUGAUAACACUUUUAUGAUUUAGGUAAGGAUGCUGUGUGAAAAGG